UUUUUGUUUUUUUUUGCAUUAAAGAGAAAUGAUAAUGUAUAUAUUGUGCACUUUUACUCCUGUGAUGAUUCCUCCAUGUAGCGAGCAAUUAGUCGACAAUUCUCACACCAGUUGGCAUGAGGUGUCGGGCAUCAAGACUCCCCUACGGACCUAUGCUCGGGUUCCUCAUCACAAGCCCGCUGACCUUUGACAAUAGGUAGCCUUUUCGAUGUACCUGACUAAAUCCACCAUUUUUUUUUUUUUGGAUCAGAAAAAGAUGGUUCAUCAGGAUUCAAGGUUGCUACCAUAUUCUCAACACAAUGUCGAACCUAUACCUUAGAAAAUGCAGGCC
rnacentral:lncRNA from 1 species